rnacentral:misc_RNA from 1 species
AAGAGACGUUGCCCUUCGGGGUCGACCUCCCACCCUAUGUUUAUCAUACCUCUGUUGCUUUGGCAGGCCCGUCCUCGGACCGCCGGCUCCGGCCGGCCCGUGCCUGCCAGAGGAUUCAAAACUCUGAUAAUUAUGUCGUCUGAGUACUAUUAUAAAUAGUUA